UUCUGGCUCAGGAGUGAACGCUAGCGGCAGGCUUAACACAUGCAAGUCGAGGGGCAUCGCGGUGUAGCAAUACACUGGCGGCGACCGGCGAAAGGGUGAGUAACGCGUGGGCAACAUGCCCGGGACUGGGGGAUAGUCAUUGGAAACGAUGCGUAAUACCCCGUAACAACAGAGGCCGCAUGGUCUAUGUUUGAGAGAUUUAUUGAUUCCGGAUUGGCUCGCGUGCCAUUAGCUAGUUGGUGAGGUAACGGCCCACCAAGGCGACGAUGGCUAGGGGUUCUGAGAGGAAGGUCCCCCACAUUGGAACUGAGACACGGUCCAGACUCCUACGGGAGGCAGCAGUGAGGAAUAUUGGACAAUGGCCGAGAGGCUGAUCCAGCCAUGCCGCGUGACCGGGAAGAAGGCCCUAUGGGUCGUAAACCGCUUUUGUCGGGGAGCAAUAAGGGCGUCGAGUACGUCCGAUGAGAGUACCUGGCGAAUAAGCAUCGGCUAACUCCGUGCCAGCAGCUGC
rnacentral:rRNA from 1 species